rnacentral:rRNA from 1 species
AGGAAUAUUGCUCAAUGGGAGAAAUCCUGAAGCAGCAACGCCGCGUGGAGGAUGAAGGGUCUAUGACUUGUAAACUCCUGUAAAGAAGGAAAAAAUUCCCAUUAGAUGGGAGAUGAUGGUACUUCUGGAGUAAGCCCCGGCUAACUACGUGCCAGCAGCCGCGGUAAUACGUAGGGGGCAAGCGUUGUCCGGAUUUACUGGGUGUAAAGGGUGCUCAGGCGGAUUUGUAAGUCAGAGGUGAAAUCUUACAGCUUAACUGUGAAACUGCCUUUGAUACUGCAAGCCUAGAGUAUGGAAGAGAGUGAUGGAAUAUCUGGUGUAGCAGUGAAAUGCGUAGAUAUCAGAUAGAACACCAAUGGCGAAGGCAGUCACUUGAUCCAUUACUGACGCUAAAGCACGAAAGCGUGGGUAGCAAACA